GCGGUGGAGCAUGUGGUUUAAUUCGACGCAACGCGAAGAACCUUACCAGGGCUUGACAUCCCCUGACCGCGUAUGAAAGUACGUUUUCACCCUCGGGUGACAGGGAGACAGGUGGUGCAUGGUUGUCGUCAGCUCGUGUCGUGAGAUGUUGGGUUAAGUCCCGCAACGAGCGCAACCCCUACGUUUAGUUGCUAACGCGUGAAGGCGAGCACUCUAGACGAACUGCCGUUGACAAAACGGAGGAAGUGGGAUGACGUCAAAUCAUCAUGCCCCUUAUGUUCUGGGCUACACACGUGCUACAAUGGCCGGUACAGACGGACGCAAAGCCGCGAGGUGGAGCAAAUCCUAAAAAGCCGGUCUCAGUUCGGAUUGCAGGCUGCAAUUCGCCUGCAUGAAGUCGGAAUCGCUAGUAAUCGCAGGUCAGCAUACUGCGGUGAAUACGUUCCCGGGCCUU
rnacentral:rRNA from 1 species